CAGACAUUGUUCCAUCAGCAGCCAACUAGAAAGUCUGUCCUCUCCUCUGAAGAUCUCCUCUCUGUCCCUCAUUGGCAUUCCUCAUCAGAUCAACUUCCUUAUUAGGACAAGCCCUGAUCACACAGAAUGACAAACAGGUGACCAGGAGGGAGAUGAGUGUAACCACAGAGCUUCCGUGGUCCGAGGCGAUGGGGACCACACUCUUGCACCUGUUGGAAAGGAGAUGUAGAGCAUGUUCACAAGCCUCCCCUGUGCCGACCAGAGAGAGCCGGGUCAUGGGGGAGGUUGCAGAAGAAGUCAGACUUGUUUCCUCUGCUUGGAACUGUAAAGGAAAAGAAAAAGGAGGAAAGUGAAAAACUAAAGAGUAGCACAGAACUAUUAAUCUUCCAGAAUUUUUUAAUCUGUAACCUCUGAGAACUUUCUGAAGAACCCACUAACCACUAUUUCCUCUUUUGGUGACUACUUCCCUUGGUUCCUUUUUGACUCUUCUUUCCGUAUGUAAAGCAACCCUGUCCUACUGGUAGGCUGGGGAAUAAGAGUUGCUGAAGAAGAAUCAUGUUCAUUGCCCACUGACAGGGAAGAGGGGACAUUUUCAUGUAAAGAGCAGUUUGCACAGAGAGGUCCAUUCAACUUCCUUCAGUCCGAGGACGGGAGAGUGAAGAAUUUACAUUUGUCAAGAGAAAAAAAAAUAGUCUGCAAAUAGUAUUUCACUGACCAAAAAAGGACAGUAAGGACAGGAAGUGGAGACUCACGGGGACCUGAAAGGGGGUCCAGCAUUGUCAGUAAUGUCUCCAUGUGCCUGUCUCUUUAUUAAUCAGCAAGGCACUGCUUUGACCAUGUAUAUCAAAAGGUUUUCUCCUCUAAGUGUGCAGUACAUUUAAAAAAAAAUGUGGGUGUUUUAAUCUAUAUUCAUUAUUCUCACUUUUGGAAAAAUUAAGCUGUCUCUAGACUGAAGCAGCCAAGGUUUAUGGUUUUCUUAAAUGAUGACCUUAGUCUGUGGUUCUGAAAUGGUCCUUUGCUGUUAGCAAUCCCUACCUUCAAUCCAUUCUCUCCAACAUCUAAUAUUAGGCUGUUCUGACCAUCAGAAUACUCCGCUUUUGAGAGCACAACUGACAAGUGAUUUGUCUUCCAUGAUACAUGGGGAUAUCCUCCCCUCAUCUCAGAUACGGAUGGAGACUUAGUUUCAUGUUUAGAGAAGUCUUGGUUGACGUCCAUGUGUCCCUUAACUAAGAGAGGAGAGCUGUCUUAGUACAUGAAUACAAAUUUGUGAUCUACUGGAUAACUUUGGCAUGUUCAGAUAACAUAAACAAAAGGGAAAAUAAGAGACAGUAAACUAACAGAUAAAGGGUUAAUGUCCUAAGUUCAUAAAGAACUCGUGUAAUUCUUUAGGAAAAGAAUAUUUCACUUAUUUGAAAUAUGAAAAAUUCUUUUUCUGAACUAGGUAUUUAAUAAAGAGCAUUGCCUUAAAUGAAUAUAAUUAUUUUAAAUUUUACUAGCCACCAAAUAAAUUAAAAUUUAAGCAAUUAAAUUUAAUUUCUGUCAACAUUUUUUAAGAAAAACCAUACCACACAGUGUUGGAACUUUCAAAAACGUUUUUGGGACUACAUAGUGUAAAAGUUUUCUGGAUUAAAGGUAUUUAAACAACCAGAGAAAUGAAAAAUUGGG
rnacentral:lncRNA from 1 species